GACGAACGCUGGCGGCGUGCUUAACACAUGCAAGUCGAACGGAAAGGCCCCUUUGGGGGUACUCGAGUGGCGAACGGGUGAGUAACACGUGAGUAACCUGCCCUUGACUUCGGGAUAACUUCAGGUAACUGGGGCUAAUACCGGAUAGGAAUCCUUGCUGCAUGGUGGGGGUUGGAAAGCUUCGGCGGUUUUGGCUGGACUCGCGGCUUAUCGGCUUGUUGGUGGGGUAAUGGCUUACCAAGGCUUUGACGGGUAGCCGGCCUGAGAGGGCGACCGGCCACAUUGGGACUGAGAGGCGGCCCAGAUUCCUACGGGAGGCAGCAGUGGGGAAGAUUGCACAAUGGGCGGAAGCCGGAUGCAGCAACGCCGCGGGCGGGAUGACGGCCUUCGGGUUGAAAACCGAUUUCAGCAGGGGCGAAGCUUGUGGUGACGGUACCUGCAGAAGAAGCACCGGCUAACUACGUG
rnacentral:rRNA from 1 species